GAUGAACGCUGGCGGCAUGCCUUACACAUGCAAGUCGAACGGUAACAGGUCUUCGGAUGCUGACGAGUGGCGAACGGGUGAGUAAUACAUCGGAACGUGCCUAGUAGUGGGGGAUAACUACUCGAAAGAGUGGCUAAUACCGCAUGAGAUCUACGGAUGAAAGCAGGGGAUCGCAAGACCUUGUGCUACUAGAGCGGCCGAUGGCAGAUUAGGUAGUUGGUGGGAUAAAAGCUUACCAAGCCGACGAUCUGUAGCUGGUCUGAGAGGACGAUCAGCCACACUGGGACUGAGACACGGCCCAGACUCCUACGGGAGGCAGCAGUGGGGAAUUUUGGACAAUGGGCGAAAGCCUGAUCCAGCAAUGCCGCGUGCAGGAUGAAGGCCUUCGGGUUGUAAACUGCUUUUGUACGGAACGAAAAGCCCCGGGUUAAUACCCUGGGGUCAUGACGGUACCGUAAGAAUAAGCACCGGCUAACUACGUGCCAGCCGCCGCGGUAAGAC
rnacentral:rRNA from 1 species